rnacentral:rRNA from 1 species
CGUCAGCUCGUGUCGUUGAGAUGUUGGUUAAGUCCGCAACGAGCGCAACCCUUGUCAUUAGUUGCUACAUUCAGUUGGGCACUCUAAUGAGACUGCCGGUGACAAGCCGGAGGAAGUGGGGAUGACGUCAAGUCCUCAUGGCCCUUAUAGGUGGGGCUACACACGUCAUACAAUGGCUGGUACAAAGGGUUGCCAACCCGCGAGGGGGAGCUAAUCCCAUAAAGCCAGUCGUAGUCCGGAUCGUAGUCUGCAACUCGACUACGUGAAGUCGGAAUCGCUAGUAAUCGUGGAUCAGAAUGUCACGGUGAAUACGUUCCCGGGUCUU